GGAAAUGCCUCUCACAUUGCUCAACAGGGGCUCUCACCAUAGUGGUUGUGUGGCCAUGAUGUCAGAUAGUGGAUGUCAGGCUGGAACUGCCUUCCUAAGCUGUGCUUCAAGGCUUCACCAAGGCUCCCCACACCACAUGGCACUGUUUCCUGGAUCCUUCUAAGAGUUGUCAAAUGAUAUCCUCCAAUUUGCUGCAAGCCCAGCCCAUCUUCCGGGUCCACCUCAGAGACGUUUCCUCCGAGAAGCCCUCCCUGCUCCCAGCCGUGUCUCCGUCAUCUCUGUCUGGGUACAUGUCCCUCUUCUCCCGACCCUGUGGACUGCUCGAGAGCAGAGAUCCAAUCUUGCCGACAGCUGUGUCCCCACAGCGCUCAGUAAGUACCAGUGCACAGUACUUCCUCACGUCUGUGGGAAACAAGAAGGAAGGCUUCCUGGCACACGCGCCAGACGCAGAGCCACUCCAGGCAGUGCCCUCAGCUCGAAGGUCUGGAUGGAAGGGGCACUGCUCCUGCUUCCAAACGCACCGAUCCUCAGUUUUGAACUCACCCACCAUCGGUUCCGUCCUUUCACCGCUCCUCAUUUGGCUACUUUGGUCUAACUUUCAGGUCAGCCCUUUCACCAUCCCCAAGCUGGGACCGUCCCCCUUACCCCGUCCAGCAGUUGACCCUUGCCUCCCAGAAGGUGAUUUUGCCUCCUUGGUUGAGAAGUCUAAACAGUGGUCUUGCAACACGAGGCGCAGGCAGCUGUGUGACCUUGGUGUGUUACUUCACCUCUCUGAGCCUUGGUCUUCUUCACCAGUAAAACAGCACCUGACUCCUGGGGCUGCAUUGAAGAGCAGAUGUGCUAAGCCUAGCCCGAUGCCUGACGCACAGUGACUAUUCAACGAAAGCUCACAGUGACAGAAAGAGGAAAUAGACCCAGCCUUAGUCUCAUGUUUCUCUCUGUUGCCGAAACCUGCUCCUGGACCCUUUCUCCCCAUUUUGCUGUUUGGUAAGUCCCACUCGGAGCAAUACUGCAGCUGCCCCAGCCAGGGGAGCCUCUGCCGUCAUUCAUCUGACCAGCCAUGCCCUUCAGAAGACCAGACCCAGGAAGCUGGCCCUGCGGGAUUCGGAAUCCAUGGUUGUCAGGAGGUCUUUGCCAAGACUGUGGGGAAGAUCCAUAGACAGCGACAACUUACGCAGUGCUACUUUGUCACAAAUGGGAAGCCUCUGGGGGCGUGGAGAGGGUUCUGCUUUCUGGAGGCCUUUGUAUGUUCCUGACUUGAGGGGGCCCCUUCCAGCAGGGGAGACCCGUGAGGUCCUGGGACACCCGCAGCAAGGAGUGCUCCUAGGCACUCGUGGCUGCUUCAGGGCCAGGCUGCUCUGCUCCCUGGCUCCUUCAUU
rnacentral:lncRNA from 1 species